AAACGGGUUGUAGCUGUCCUUCGUAAGGAGGUACGUGCACGCCUUGCUCAUCCACUCUCAAACCCCUGUGCACUUUUUGUAGGCUUGGUGGGAUAGGCUGACUUCGGUCGGCUUUGAAUGCCUCGCCUAUGUAUUAAAACAAACGCUUCAGUUUAGAAUGUAACCUUGCAUAAUAAGCAAAUAAAUACAACUUUCAGCAACGGAUCUCUUGGCUCUCGCAUCGAUGAAGAACGCAGCGAAAUGCGAUAAGUAAUGUGAAUUGCAGAAUUCAGUGAAUCAUCGAAUCUUUGAACGCACCUUGCGCUCCUUGGUAUUCCGAGGAGCAUGCCUGUUUGAGUGUCAUGGUAUCAUCAACCUUCAACACUUUUGUGUCUGUAGGGCUUGGACUUGGAGGUCGUGUCGGCGUUCGCGUCGGCUCCUCUGAAAUGCAUUAGCGUGAAUCUUACGAAUCGCCCUCGGUGUGAUAAUUUCUACGCCGUAGACGUGCAGUAUAUAGUGUUCGUGCUUACAACCGUCUGCAAAGACAACAUCAUUGACAAUCUGACCUCAAAUCAGGUAGGACUACCCGCUGAACUUAAGCAUAUCAAUAAGCGGAGGAAAAGAAACUAACAAGGAUUCCCCUAGUAACUGCGAGUGAAGCGGGAAAAGCUCAAAUUUAAAAUCUGGCGGUCUUCGAUCGUCCGAGUUGUAGUCUGGAGAAGCGUCUUCCGCGCUGGACCGUGUACAAGUCUCUUGGAACAGAGCGUCGUAGAGGGUGAGAAUCUCCGUCUUUGACACGGACUACCAGUGCUUUGUGAUGCGCUCUCAAAGAGUCGAGUUGUUUGGGAAUGCAGCUCAAAA
rnacentral:rRNA from 1 species